rnacentral:sRNA from 1 species
UCGUGUAGAUCCGGACAAAUGUAAUGCACAUGAGCAUCGAUCGCUCCCGCGGUAACGAUAUACUUUUCACCAGCAAUAACUUCGGUACAAGACCCAACCACAAGGUUCGGAUCCACUCCAUCCAUUAUCGCCGGGUUACCCGCCUUCCCAAUCCCCACGAUAUGCCCACCUCUGAUGCCAAUAUCUGCUUUGACAAUCCCGCACCAAUCAACAAUGAGCGCAUUGAUCACUACCACGUCCAACACGGCUUUAUCGGGUCGACCAGAAGCUUGACCCAUACCAUCACGA